rnacentral:lncRNA from 1 species
UCCUCUGGGAUACGAUACUUGGUCUUACUAUUUUAUAUUACUUGUGCAACUCGGUACACUUGUCGAAAUAGUCCCAACAAAUUUUUGGUGUCAUUGUUGGGGACUCACGGUUUAAGCUACUCUAUUUGUGUGAUUCUUUAUUAACCUUGACUUUAUUUUAUUUUUAUUUUGUUUUUAUUUUUUUCUUUUAUUUUUCAAUCUUUAAUUUUUAUUUUAUUUUUGUUCUUUAUUCUGUUUUUUUUUUUUGUGCUAACAAUAUUUUCUAUGGUUUUGUGUUUUGUUUAUGCAGGAUAUAGUCACGACUAGGUGCAACAAAAAUUUUGAACCUCUUCUUGAAGGACUUAAGACUAGUAGGAGGCCAAGAAGAAAUAGAUUAUCUAGAGAACCUUCUCUAGAGAAAAUUUCAAUGGCUUCCCAAUCUGAUGAGGAAGGUGGGGAACAACGUUGGCAAGCGCACCUUGGCUGAUUAUACAACAGUUGUUGGCCCUCACCAUUUUAACAACAUUGCAAAGCCGAG